AUUGAACGCUGGCGGCAGGCCUAACACAUGCAAGUCGAGCGGAGCGGCGGACGGGUGAGGAAUGCCUAGGAAUCUGCAUGGUCGUGGGGGCUAACGUCAGGAAACGGGCGCAAAUACCGAAUACAAUCAGUUGAGCUCAGGUCGGAUUAGCUAGUGGGUGGGGGAAAGGCCUACCAGGGCGACGGUCCGUAACUGGUUUGAGAGGGUGAUCAGUCACACUGGAACUGAGACACGGGCCAGACUCCUACGGGAGGCAGCAGUGGGGAAUUUUGGACAAUGGGCGAAAGCCUGAUCCAGCCAUGCCGCGUGUGUUAAGAAGGUCUUCGGAUUGUAAAGCACUUUAAGUUGGGAAGCGUUACCAUCAGAAUACGCACCGGCUAACUGCGUGCCAGCAGCCGCGGUAAUAC
rnacentral:rRNA from 1 species